rnacentral:rRNA from 1 species
UACGUAGGGGGCAAGCGUUGUCCGGAAUCAUUGGGCGUAAAGCGCGUGUAGGCGGCCCGAUAAGUCCGCUGUGAAAGUCCAGGGCUCAACCCUGGAAUGCCGGUGGAUACUGUCGGGCUCGAGUCCGGAAGAGGCGAGUGGAAUUCCUGGUGUAGCGGUGAAAUGCGCAGAUAUCUGGAGGAAUACCGGUGGCGAAGGCGGCAUCCUGGACCGGCAUUGACGCUGAGGAGCGAAAGCCAGGGGAGCAAACAGG